CUAGCCGUAAACGAUGGAUACUAGGCGUUGUGAGUAUCGACCCUCACAGUGUCGUAGCUAACGCGCUAAGUAUCCCGCCUGGGGAGUACGCGCGCAAGCGUGAAACUCAAAGGAAUUGACGGGGGCCCGCACAAGCGGUGGAGUAUGUGGUUUAAUUCGAUGCAACGCGAAGAACCUUACCAGGACUUGACAUGUCGCGAAUCUCAGGGAAACUUGAGAGUGCCUUCGGGAGCGCGGACACAGGUGGUGC
rnacentral:rRNA from 1 species